GGGGCCAUGCUGCAGGCACCGUCAUAUGCAGCAUGGUCCACUGGUGUCGUCCUAUAUCCUUCAUCUGUUGGUGAUGGUGUGGUAAAGACACUCCUAGCCUUAGGACCAGGGGACCCAGACUUGACUGCUGAACUCCAGCUCAGUGAGAGGCGGAAGCAAAGUCGACGGAGGAGCCGCGGCAAUCGACCCUGUGCCAUGAGGACGCGAGCCGUGAUAGCAGAAGCUUCCACUACACUGGGUCUCGUGGGAUUUUUCUUUUUCGCCCUUCCCCUCUGGUGAAGAAUACUCUGCCCAUGGCUGUGUUUCUCACUCCAGUUUAUGCAUUCAUCUCAAAGCAUCUUCCUUUUCCACUCCCCAUCAUGCAAGGCUACUACCACCAAAGCGAAUUGCUGAAGCAAGCAGAGCCGGCUUUGCCCCUGUUGGUGGAGAAGAGGGAAGGUGACAACUGCUGCGCUAGGGAAGGAAGCUUCACGCUACCGAGACUGUGCGCCGCUGCCUUCUCUACACCUCUAUGACAAAAGUGGUUGAUUUCUAAUACGUAUUCAAAGUUACCUUG